UACGAAGGGUGCAAACGUUGCUCGGAAUUAUUUGGGCGUAAAGCGCACGUAGGCGGCUUUAGCAAGUCCCAUGUGAAAGCCCACGGCUUAACCGUGGAAGUGCAUGGGAAACUGCUGAGCUUGAGUACUUAAGAGGAUCGCGGAAUUCCCGGUGUAGAGGUGAAAUUCGUAGAUAUCGGGAGGAACACCAGUGGCGAAGGCGGCGAUCUGGGAAGAUACUGACGCUGAGGUGCGAAAGCGUGGGGAGCAAACAGG
rnacentral:rRNA from 1 species